rnacentral:rRNA from 1 species
ACGGGAGGCAGCAGUAGGGAAUAUUGCACAAUGGGGGAAACCCUGAUGCAGCGACGCCGCGUGAGCGAUGAAGUAUUUCGGUAUGUAAAGCUCUAUCAGCAGGGAAGAUAAUGACGGUACCUGACUAAGAAGCCCCGGCUAACUACGUGCCAGCAGCCGCGGUAAUACGUAGGGGGCAAGCGUUAUCCGGAUUUACUGGGUGUAAAGGGCGCGUAGGCGGGCUUUCAAGUCAGAUGUGAAAUACCGGAGCUUAACUCCGGAGCUGCAUUUGAAACUGUAAGUCUUGAGUAUCGGAGAGGAAAGCGGAAUUCCUAGUGUAGCGGUGAAAUGCGUAGAUAUUAGGAGGAACACCAGUGGCGAAGGCGGCUUUCUGGACGACAACUGACGCUGAGGCGCGAAAGUGUGGGGAGCAAACAGGAUUAGAUACCCUGGUA